rnacentral:lncRNA from 1 species
AGAUGAAAACCGGGCGGGAUGGCAGCCCCGGGGCCAGGGAUGCGGGAGCCGCCGGGAAGACCCGCGCGCCGCUCGACUCAGAGGGACUCACACCUUCCCCCGACAAAGGUCAUUAAGUUGUGAGUACACUUGCACGCACCUGUUUCUCUUCUCGCCCCCCUGUUUCUCCCUGGGUCCCGCUGGGCUGCCAAGCCGUGCGCGGGCUGUGCCGUGACAGCGUCCGCAGAGCCCGCGGCAGGGAAGGGCGCAGGAGCGGCUGCGGCUCACCCUCCCGCCUUCCCCCGGGCAGGAGGUGCUGAGGGACGCGAAACCAACUACCGCGAGCGGCCCGCCCCUGCCCGGGAGAACCGCGGCCGGCGAGCACCUCCUCGCACUUCCUCCUUCAGCCACGGGCAGACCCGCCGGAGUCCGAACAAUGAAGCGGCGCGGGGAAACUGUGAAAAUGGAAACUUACCUCUCACAUUUUUUUUUCAGAGGCGGCCCCACUGUCGACCAAGUGCCCAAGGCAUUGUGGGAGUCAUGAUUCCAAGAUGCCCGCGACGGAAAAUGGAACUUGUCAGCUCCUUGUCAUGGGAGCAUUGUGGGCGCCACAACUCAUUCAGCUGCAGUGAAAAGACUGUUGCAUGUCGCUGUGCAGCCUCUUAUCGCCGAGGUCUGGCUUCCGCUGCUGCUGCGCGGCCCCUCCCCCGCCCGCCCAGCCCCACCAGGAAGCCCAGGGCGGACUCGUCGAGCUCCUAAUGCACGCGGCGGCGAGAAAAACGCUCUUCAACUUUCCGCCGGCGCCCUCCCGCGCUUCCCCGGGCCACAGGGUCGCCUGUCAACCGGACAGAGCCCGCAAGAGCGGGUCAUGGGCGGUCGCCCAGCGGCGCCGAGAGCAGGAGGAAGCCGGAGCCCGCGCGGGCGCCGUGGAUCCCCUCGGCCUCCCGUUGGUAUCUUCCAUCUCAUGCGUUCAGCAUUGUAACCUCGCGGCGGGCGUGCAGACCGGACGCCCUCCCGCUUCUUCUACCGACUGCUAGGCACACCAGUGGGUUCAUUUUGAAAGAGGCCCUUGCACCGGGCUUUGCAAGGAAGCCGGCAAGGUUAGAUUGAAGGUUAGAAGCCAAUUAGACUAGAAUCCUGCGAUCUGGUGAGACUGCCGCCUUAAAAUGCACCAAACAGUUUUUGAACCUGGAGGGCUAACAGGCGGGAAAAACAUCUGCAAGACUGCCACCGUGUAUUUUUCUCAAGUAACAGGCUAUCCACAGUUUUGGAAUUCCUUAGUGAAACUGUCACACAGGCACAAACACAUGUCAGCUUUCCUUCUAGUUUGUAAAUAAUAUUUGUAAUUUACAGGCCACUGUAUUCCCAACUUUGCACCAUGUGAUUUAGAGAAAGCAAAGCUCCCUCUUUAAAAAUAAUAUGUUACUUCUGAAAUACCGGGAUAUUCCACGGCAAGUAAGCCAUAUUGUCGCCAGAGCAAAUAAACCGCAGCCCCAUAUCAUAAUUCACUGGGUGCUAUAAGAUGUAACUUGGCUUUGCUUUGAAUGGAAAGAAUCCUGAACGUCUGUGAUGUGAUGAAGUUUUGGAGACUGGGGGCAGGAUUUCCUUUGAAUGUAAGGAAUUCGGAUAACUUGUUCAAGGAUGAUUCUAGUGAAAAACGUUUGUCCCAUGUUUGUUGGGACAAAAAUGCUGGAUAUGGUACAACAUUCUUCCUGCAGGUUCGGUUUUGUUGAAGAGAGUGAGGCCAGCUCGAGGUGAAGGAAAAACAUCAGAAAGGUGCUAAAGUGCAGAAAUAUCUUCCAGAGGCACUAAUAGCCGACUUUAGUUCUUGACCUUUAGCUAGAUCCACAAAGCACUGAGUUAAAAUUGUACACUGAUCCCUUCCAGAACAAAUUAAUUAAUUAAAUGGUGCCUCUUCCCAGCGUUAAUCGUUUAAAAGGACUCAAGUACCCACACAGUUUAAGCAAACUAAAAGAACACUGACACUUUCUCAGAGAACAGGGAUGGGAACUUUCUAUCUGCCCAUUAGUAUCUACCCCAAGCUACGAAGACUUCCAUUCCUCUUAUUAAGCAUUCAGCAACUACAUUUAGUGCCUACUAUGCCAGUGAUGCAAGAAUGGAUAAGACAGUCCCUACACUCAAGGAUAACGCCUCUAGUAGGUAAUGGAAGCUGGAGAGUUGGCCCUUGACCAAAGCCUUGCAGCUAACAAGAGGACAAGCCUCCUGCCCCACAGUGUUUCACAGCCAGUACCCCAAGCUCCUGAAUUCAUCUGUCUAAUGUGUAAUAUAUUUAUAAACACUCUACCUGGGAUGUAUGCGUACCUUCUACUAUGGACUGUUGUUAAAGACAAGUAAAUAUGCAAUCGUGGUCUUUCAAUAAACUAAACGGAUAUAAAAAUAAAUAUAGAAUACAGCCAGAAGAUCAAAAUUGACAUAUUAUCUAUUUAUGCUUAUAAUAUGUAAUUACAUGUAAUAUUGUAAAACACUUUCUACCAUUUCAUAAAAUUCUGUGUUGUUAUUUAGCCCAGAAUUCCCUUGCAAUCUUUUAAAAAUAGUAUCUAAUAGGGCUUUUAAUAUAAAUGUCGUAGUGAAACUGUUUUAUGUACUGUAACCCAAACAUUUCUACGUAGUAACACUGUUCCAUAUAGAAAACAAAUAUGAAAAAAUAUGGCCAUUGUCUUAUUUAUUUCUAAAGGUAAACCAAUCUUUGACAAUGCCAAUAGCAGUGUCAAUGUUCCUAAAUGUUGGCUGUAUCUAUCUACUUACUCAUUGUAUUCUUGAGGUUCCUUUCCUUUGGUUUCUAUGAUAUUCCACAUCCCUCUCUUUUCAUUCCAUUGUGUGAGUUCUCUCUGUGGAUCUUUUGUUAGCUCCUCUUAUUCCUUCUUGCCUAUCUGAGUUUCCUGAAAUUACCUUCAAAUCAUGUCUCGAAAGAUGUUCUAAAGAGACCUUUGAAUAAGAACAACAUUUGUCCCAUUAAUAAAUGGUGGGAGUUUCAUAUAUCUGUUUCUUUUUCUCUUCUUUCCUCUUUGCCUUGUCCAAAAGAGUGGGAACUGAGCAGUACAGUCAUAAAUUAAUUUUAAUAUAUUAACUUAGGCAUCAGUACACUGGCUAUUGUUCCUUAAUACAUUUAACACAUAGUCAUUGACUGCUGAUUAUGUGCCAAGGGCUGUGCUUGGCACUGGGGAUAAAGAA